rnacentral:piRNA from 1 species
UUAAAGACUUUGGAAAAGCGA